UACGAAGGGGGCUAGCGUUGCUCGGAAUCACUGGGCUUAAAGCGUGUGUAGGCGGAUCGUUAAGUGUCUUGUGAAAUCCCACGGCUCACCCGUGGAACUGCUGGGCAUACUGGCGAUCUUGGGCCAACUAGGGGCAGUCGGAACAAGCGGUGGAGCGGUGAAAUGCGUAGAUAUCGGGAAGAACACCAGUGGCGAAGGCGGCUGCCUGGCCUGUAACUGACGCUGAGACGCGAAAGCGUGGGGAGCGAACCGG
rnacentral:rRNA from 1 species